rnacentral:rRNA from 1 species
GAUGAACGCUAGCUACAGGCUUAACACAUGCAAGUCGCGGGGCAGCAUGGGGGUUGCUUGCAACUCCCGAUGGCGACCGGCGCACGGGUGAGUAACGCGUAUCCAACCUGCCCUUCACCACGGGAUAACCCGGCGAAAGUCGGACUAAUACCGUAUGUUGUCCAUUGACGGCAUCCGAUUUGGACGAAAGGCUUUGCGGUGAAGGAUGGGGAUGCGUCCGAUUAGCCAGACGGCGGGGUAACGGCCCACCGUGGCUACGAUCGGUAGGGGUUCUGAGAGGAAGGGCCCCCACACUGGAACUGAGACACGGUCCAGACUCCUACGGGAGGCAGCAGUGAGGAAUAUUGGUCAAUGGGCGUAAGCCUGAACCAGCCAAGUAGCGUGCAGGAUGACGGCCCUAUGGGUUGUAAACUGCUUUUAUGCGGGGAUAAAGUGGCCCACGUGUGGGCUUUUGCAGGUACCGCAUGAAUAAGGACCGGCUAAUUCCGUG